AUACGGAGGAUGCGAGCGUUAUCCGGAUUUAUUGGGUUUAAAGGGUGCGCAGGCGGCACGUCAAGUCAGCGGUCAAAAUGCGGCGCUCAACGCCGUACCGCCGUUGAAACUGGCGGGCUCGAGUGCGUGGGAGGAUGGCGGAAUGCGCGGUGUAGCGGGGAAAUGCAUAGAUAUCGCGCAGAACCCCGAUUGCGAAGGCAGCUGUCCAUCACGCCACUGACGCUCAUGCACGAAAGCGUGGGUAGCGAACAGGAUUAGAUACCCUGGUAGUCCACGCGGUAAACGAUGAUAACUAGUUAUCCGGCCCGAUUGGGGGCUGGGUGACCGAGCGAAAGCGUUAAGUUAUCCACCUGGGGAGUACGCCGGCAACGGUGAAACUCAAAUGAAUUGACGGGG
rnacentral:rRNA from 1 species